rnacentral:rRNA from 1 species
CCCUUAGAUGUUCUGGGCCGCACGCGUGCUACACUGAGUGGAUCAGCGGGUCUGGUUACGCGAGAGCGUUUCCUAAUCUUCAAAUCCGCUCGUGAUGGGGAUUGACGGUUGCAAUUUUCCGUCAUGAACGAGGAAUACCUUGUAAGCGCGGGUCAUCAUCCCGCGCUGAAUACGUCCCUGCCCUUUGUACACACCGCCCGUCGCUCCUACCGAUUGAGUGGUCCGGUGAGGCUUUGGGAUCUAAGCGAAAAGAGCGUUUCGCUCCUUUUGCUGGGAGAACUCAGUCGAACCUUAUCAUUUAGAGGAAGGAGAAGUCGUAACA